rnacentral:rRNA from 1 species
GACGAACGCUGGCGGCGUGCUUAACACAUGCAAGUCGAACGGAAAGGCCCUGCUUUUGUGGGGUGCUCGAGUGGCGAACGGGUGAGUAACACGUGAGUAACCUGCCCUUGACUUUGGGAUAACUUCAGGAAACUGGGGCUAAUACCGGAUAGGAGCUCCUGCUGCAUGGUGGGGGUUGGAAAGUUUCGGCGGUUGGGGAUGGACUCGCGGCUUAUCAGCUUGUUGGUGGGGUAGUGGCUUACCAAGGCUUUGACGGGUAGCCGGCCUGAGAGGGUGACCGGCCACCAUGGGACUGAGGUACGGCCCAGACUGCUACCGGCGGCAACAGUGGGGAAUAUUGCACAAUGGGCGGAAGCCUGAUGCAACAACGCCGCGUGCGGGAUGACGGGCUUCGGGUUGUAAACCGCUUUCGCCUGUGACGAAGCGUGCGUGACGGUAAUUGGUAAAAAAGCACCGGCUAACUACGUG